rnacentral:other from 1 species
AACAUUCUGCGUUGUUCGAUAUCCCAUUUAAUUCAACCGACAAAAAGAACGCGGGUAUCUGGCGUUUAGCAUUUGAUAACAAGCCCUCUUUGAAGGGACGUUAGAAAUUGUUAACAAGAAUCCCACCUGAAUAAGGCGGGCGUGAAUUAGUUGGGAGUAACGGCAUCGCGGUAUUAAC